GACGAACGCUGGCGGCGUGCUUAACACAUGCAAGUCGAACGGUAAGGCCCUGCUUUUGUGGGGUGCUCGAGUGGCGAACGGGUGAGUAACACGUGAGUAACCUGCCCUUGACUUUGGGAUAACUUCAGGAAACUGGGGCUAAUACCGGAUAGGAGCUACCGCUGCAUGGUGGGGGUUGGAAAGUUUCGGCGGUUGGGGAUGGACUCGCGGCUUAUCAGCUUGUUGGUGGGGUAGUGGCUUACCAAGGCUUUGACGGGUAGCCGGCCUGAGAGGGUGACCGGCCACAUUGGGACUGAGAUACGGCCCAGACUCCUACGGGAGGCAGCAGUGGGGAAUAUUGCACAAUGGGCGGAAGCCUGAUGCAGCAACGCCGCGUGCGGGAUGACGGCCUUCGGGUUGUAAACCGCUUUCGCCUGUGACGAAGCGUGAGUGACGGUAAUGGGUAAAGAAGCACCGGCUAACUACGUG
rnacentral:rRNA from 1 species